rnacentral:lncRNA from 1 species
GAUCUUCAUCCGUGAAUGCAUUUCUUAUUUAUACAAGAUUAUAUUUUAAACCGAGUCUGAAAAAGAGAAAAGUGAAAAUGAUUUUGGUUAUGAAAAUAGUUGAAAUAAAUGAAUCAAUUUGAAACCCAAUAUUCAAUUUGAAUUGUGCAACACGUUGUUAAACAAAAGAAAGAGGUGGAAGCAAAAAAAAAGGGUGUCCCAAAUUCGGGAAUGAAAAUGAGAGGAUACACGUUGUUGAAGAUGAAUUGUAGAGGUUGAAGAUAAAGUGACAAAAAUAAAAAAAAAUAUAAUGUGGAGAGACUACGAUAAGAUCGAUGUUCUUAAUUUAUCUAAUGGUUAAAAUUUACUUUCCCAUGGUGGAAAAGAACUUCAUAUUCCCAUACUAAACCCCACCAGACUUCUAGUGGUAAUACCCUUGACAAAUAACUUUUGAGUUUCCACGUGAUAGUAAAUUGAGAAAUGAUAUUUGUACAACCAUUUCUUAACAACUUUUGUGACAACUUUCUCUUUCAUACUCACAUUAUAUUUUUACUUUCUUUCUCUAUUGCUUUGGUUUUUGUGCCAACACAUACUUUUCUUUGUAAAAAUAUGGUUGUCAAUGUGGUUGUCAACCAAAUUGAUAUUCAAAUAACAUUGCUCUAGUAAAUUAGAGCAAUUUCUCAUGUGUGUAUAUUGGUAGUUAGUGUACAGUCAGCACGUGCUGAUGUGUCCAUAUAUGCCAAAUCAGCAAGAAAUUCAUUAAAAUGAUUUUUUUAAAAACAUACAAUAAUUUUGUAAGGGUAUGUUUUAGAAAGAAAAAAAAUAUUAUAGGAAUCAAAAUCCAAAUUCACUAUAUUUACAAGAACCAAAUAUAGGUUCUAGCUCGGUUGGUAGAAAUAAUGUAGAGAUUUUAGUAAAAUUUAUUUUAACUCUUCGAAGAUUACUACUCAUCUUCAUUGACUUUAUCUAUUUUCACAUUCCUUUGAUAAUAUAUGAGAAAUGUUGUUUUCAGCGACAGGUUUUAUCGUGAAUCAUCCCGAAAGAUUGGAAAAAAAAAACUCCUUAAUUUUUGGAACUGAAUUGCAUGGUUGGUGGGGCCUUUAUUAUUUUUUUGUUAGUAUUAUAAUUUGCCGUUCGCGAUCAAUUUGCUGGAAGUUUUAUCGUGAUGUUUAGCAUCACUAUAUAUUGAUCGUGUCACAAUAUUCAUUGCUUUUAUCAUGCAUCAAAUUUUGGUUGAAAAGAAGACCAUAAGAAAUU